GAUGAACGCUGGCGGCGUGCCUAAUACAUGCAAGUCGAGCGAACAGACGAGGAGCUUGCUCCUCUGACGUUAGCGGCGGACGGGUGAGUAACACGUGGAUAACCUACCUAUAAGACUGGGAUAACUUCGGGAAACCGGAGUUAAUACCGGAUAAUAUAUUGAACCGCAUGGUUCAAUAGUGAAAGACGGUUUUGCUGUCACUUAUAGAUGGAUCCGCGCCGCAUUAGCUAGUUGGUAUGGUAACGGCUUACCAAGGCAACGAUGCGUAGCCGACGUGAGAGGGUGGUCGGCCACACUGGAACUGAGACACGGUCCAGACUCCUACGGGAGGCAGCAGUAGGGAAUCUUCCGCAGUGGGCGAAAGCCUGACGGGGCAACGCCGCGUGAGUGAUGAAGGUCUUCGGAUCGUAAAACUCUGUUAUUAGGGAAGAACAAAUGUGUAAGUAACUAUGCACGUCUUGACGGUACCUAAUCAGAAAGCCACGGCUAACUACGUG
rnacentral:rRNA from 1 species